UAAAUUAAGACAAUGCAGGCAGGAAACCUAUCCCAGAGGGGAAAUGGCACCGCUGUUUAAAGACCAACCGGAAGUCACGUGGUUACUUUAGAAAUUUUUUUUACCCGACAGCAAAUAGCAGACGGGUUUGAUUAGGAACCUGAGUAAUUAGCAUGACUAGAACAAAUGGGUAUUAAGGGGCCAAACAUUGCUUCUCGCCUCAUUAAAAGAAUUACAAGCAAAAGUUUUUUGUUUCUAUCUGGCUUACUAUUAGUAAUUGGUAAUGAAUAUGUUUUACAUUUUGCCCACUAUCUCCAAUGGGCACCUAUCCCUGUGGAAACAAGACAUGAUGGAGACAUGGUGCUCCUCCUUGUUUCAGACCCACAAAUACAAGGUUACCAAAGAGAGCCAGCCUUUCCAGUAGGGUAUUUUUCACGAUGGGAUGCAGACAGGUAUAUAAGCCGUUCAUUUAGUAUGGCAUUUCUCCACUCCUCACCAGAUAUCAUUCUUUUCCUUGGUGAUCUAAUGGAUGAAGGUAGUAUCGCAACCAAUGAAGAAUAUGAGUUAUAUUACCAAAGAUUGCAGAAUAUUUUUCAGGAUGCUGCUGAAACCAAGAAAAUCUAUGUUCCUGGAGAUAAUGAUAUUGGGGGUGAAGGCUUUGACAGAAGAACAAGUGAAAAAAUAUCACGCUUUGAAAGAUACUUUGAAUAUUUAACUGGAGCUGUUAAAUUCCGAUUUGCUUCUUUUUUCAAGUUGGAUGUCCGUUUCUUUGAACCAUUUUUACCCAAGCACAAGAAGAUACUUCAAGAAGUUGGUGAAGAAAUUUACAUGCCAUUCCGAAUCAUUUUGAACCAUGAAUCAAUUUCUCCAAAGCUAAAGAGCCAUGUUUAUCCUUAUUCCUAUGUGUUGCAGCUGUUGAAGCCCAUUCGGCCACACAUGGUCAUAUCUGGUCACUGGCACAAGGCAAAUUUAUUCUUGUGUGAGGAUUGCUUGUCACAAGAAAAUGAUGAUGGUGAUUACUGGCCUGUGACAAGACGUGACCUCACAUCAGAAGAAAACUAUAUUGAAAUCAAUUCUGAUGAGAAAAGUACUUUAGUUGAGAUCAUGGUGCCUACCUGCAGCUAUCGGAUGGGUGAACCUAAGAUGGGUUAUGGUGUUCUGGUUAUAAAUGACAAUGGUAAUAUCAAGUAUAUGACACUGUGGCUGCCACCAAGAUACAUCUCGUUAUAUAUGUAUGCUGGAUAUGCAAUAUUCCUCUGCAUAGUAAUUAUCUGCCAGAUGCUAAGGAAGCUGUUUACAGCUAUGCGGCGAUUGCUAACCCGAACACAGGUCAGUCAUUAUGAGUGAUUAGUGAUUCACAAUGCAAUGCCUUAGUCUCGACAUCAAACUCUAUUGUUAAUAAACUGCCAUCAUCUGAAAUAUAAAUAAAAUAAAAGUGCAAGGCAGCAAAGAGAAAGAAUCUACAUUCCUGAUUUUAUUAUUCAGAAACCUUGAUAAAGAAUGAUGCAUUAUCACCAAGUCAAACCAAACAAGGAAAAACUGUGAUAUUAUUGCUUUGUUUUUUUUUUCAAACAAUUUUAUUAUUUUCAAAAAUUCUAGAAAAUCGUUUUAUUCUCUAAUACAUUCCAUGUUUUUUCUAGAAUCUAUGUAAUCCAUAGAAUGCAACAUAAGCCAAGAUAUUUCUUUUCUUAUAUAUGGACAUCAUAUAUCUUCUCUUCCAAAAUUCCUUUUUAUCUAUAUUUUUUGUUUAUUGCAUAGGUCUGCAAAAUGAAACAUUUUGAUAAUUGUAUGUUACUCUAUAUAUUUUUGUGGUGCUAAUUCAAGAUAUCAAAAAAUCACUUUCCUUUACCUAAGGUUUUCUCACAACUUAAUAAUAGAAUCUACCAUAAUUUGUAGGUAAAUCUGCAAAUGUUAGGACAAAAUGAAGCAAAUAAAAAUUAAUUUGGUACUUUAUUGAGCAAAAUAAAAUGGCACAAAUGCAAUUGAAGUAUAAGAAAGUAGAUUUUUACAAUAAGUUCCAUUCAUCUUUUGGUUCAGCACCUGAAAAUCUCUUCUUUUCCACUUGGGAGUUAUACCUGAAACUCUUUCACUUGUGAGCAUCUGGACAUUCCUAUUGACAUCAAAUUGACAUUCCAUCUUCCCUGAUAUUCUUUCCAUCUCCUUUAUGUCAUGAUGAAACCUUUUUCCUAGCUCUUUACUCACAUUACUCAGAUUUUCCAGAAAGAAAUCCUAAUGGGCAUUUAGGAAAUGAACUUUAAUGCAUAUUUUACAUCCUAAGGCCUCCGAAAUUCCCAGUAUUCUUCCCACUAUGUCUUUGUAUUUUGGAUCCUUGUGAUUACCCUAGAAGUUCUUCAUCGCUUCAUUAAAACUAAUCCAUGCAUCUUUAUAAGAAUCACUAAGAGAAAUUUUCAAAGUUUUCGUCCUUGACAAAUUUCUUAUAUCUGAAAAUACACCCUCUUCAACCUGGACACUUGCUAUAGAAAAAACUUGAAGCCCUCUCCAUCCUGUGGGAAAGCUUUUAUGAAUUGCUUCAUGAGACCAUUUAAUCUUGUGUAAGAAGACACCAAAUUUUCAUGUUUCCUUCAUGAUCACUAAGUGUCCAACAGGGAUGGAAGCAUAUUUAUUAUCAUUUCUUCAAAAAGUCAGUAGAGAGUUUCCAUUUAUCAGGCUGUAACUUAUGCUAAACUUUCCUAUUAGACCUGAUGGAUCUGUUCAAUAAUCCAAAUUAUUUUCUAGAGUGAAAAAAAGGAACAAAUUCUAUCACAGUUAUGACACCAACAGAAUGAUGCAUGCUGUUAUUGUUGAGGCCUGUUCAGUCCAUUAUAUUACUUUCCUUACAAAAUUAGCCUCAAAAUCAUUUAUCCUCAUUAUCUCAAUGGCUUCUGAAUAAGGCACAAGGCUAAUAAUACCAUCAUGUCCAUUAUUUGGCUGGUACUCUAUUUCAAGAGUCCCAAAAUGAUGAAAGGCAAAAUUAACCUUGGCAGGUUUUGAGCUCAGAAUGUUAGCAGAAAUGCUACUAAGCAAUUUUUCCAAUGCUCUAAAUGUUCUGCCAGCUUACUCACUGCUGCCUUUAUUGUCAUUAUCUUAAUAAUGAGUGAGUGAGUUAACAGAACUGGUAGAGUGCUUGACAAAAUGCUUUGUGGCAUUUAUCCCUUGAUUGGCCCUUUAUUGUGUUCAGCUUACACUAGGGUCAACUUUACCUUUCUGCUUUCCAAAUCAAUAAAACCAUCAACAAUUGGAGUUGAUACAACUAAUUAUAGCCCUCCCACAUGAUCUUGAAAAAACAUGGCAAAGUUUGUAGGGUGACAAGCAAAAUAAAAUGUCCUGAAGGAUUUAGUUGUUACUUUAUAUUCCGUGUUCAAAUCUCAUCAGAGUCAACUUUGGUUUUCAACCUUCCUGGGUUGAUAAAAUAUAGUACCAGCCAAAUCCUAAGAUCAAUAUAAGCAAAUCUUGUUUUUCAUUUCAAAAGUGUAGUCUUGUGCCAAUAUUAGAAAUCAUUAUUAUUGUAAGCAUAGCUAACAAAAAACAAGAGGUAACCUCCUGAGGAGAUAAGUCUACUCACCUCAGGAAAGGUACAAACAUCACGUAAACCUAUUCUCUUCACCAAUAAAAUAUAUGGCCUUAUCCUUAAUUAAGGAGUAAAAAUAUGGUUUCUUUAAUUAAUUUAUGACUACUUUUUUUAUUAUAAUGAUUAUACUAUUGUUAUUGAUUAGAUAAGCUUCACACAUUGAAAAUCAUCUUUACUCCUCAAUAUUAUUAGUUCCCCACUCUAACAGAAUGUAAUUCCAAAUAAAAGUAGAGAAUAUCCUUCUAAGAAAGUGUAUUGUAGAGAUUAAUUUAAAAAGCUGAGACACACAAACAUUUAUUUGAUUUAGUGACAUACUAUGCCUGCAUCUCUUGUUGAAGUACUGCACAAUCAGUGAUAGUCUUCAUCGAUUACUGAUAGAUAAACCUUAUUGGCAGCACAGACGUUAUGCCUUUCAUUUCAGUGGUUCAGGUUUGACACAACAAUGAAAUACUACCACUUUCACUGGUUCAAGCACACAGAAGGUAUAGUGUAAAGAAGGGUAGUGAUUCUCUGUUUCCCUGCAUGGAUGUGUCUUCUGUAGAAGUGUUGUAUGGUCAAAGUCAUUGACUAUACCGAUCACCAAUGGAUAAACAUAACUUUAGAAAUCUUCAUCUUUUGGCUUCUUUAUUUCUGUCCCUUUCUUUUAUGUAUAUAUUUUGUAGUAGUUACUAAGUCAUUGUUAAAUUUCAUAGAUGAGUUACCAUUAAAAAAUGUGUUAAUAUAUCUCCUGCUUCUUGAAUAGAAAAAUAUUUUUUGUCUCUAAUAUAUUAUAUGCCAUUUGCUAAAACUUUAAUAACAGACAAGCUACAUAUAAUGUAAGAAGUUGUUACAUUAUUUAAUCUGAAAGCUUAGUUUUUACCAGUUAGGAUAAAAGUCACUUUUUAUAGAUGAUUAUGAGGAAUGUGCCAAAACUAUAACUUUAAAAUGCAGCUACAUAGACUUCAGGUAAAAGAAUGAGAUGUUGAGGCAAGUGAACACAGAGACAUUUAGAUAUGUUACAUAUAAAGUGAAUCUGAUAAAAGGAAUUUCAUGCAUUUGUUGGUUCUUAUUUAUCAAAACCUCCAAAGAACUUCUUUUUUUUUUAUAUCUUUAAAGAUUCAAAAAAUUUCUAGAUUUAUAUAUGUUUCUCAUGAUAUUUGUCUUCAAAAUCUCUUUUUUGAAAAUUUUUUCAUUUAUUAAUUUCAUAACUGUAGACAAUGCGAAUCAUAUAUUCAACAAUAUUUAGGUGAUAACACUAUUAAUAGCAUCUCUAUGUUACUAAUGUAACUCUUUGAAAAAUGUUAACUCAAUCCUGAAAGUUAAUGAAACAUGUGUUAGUCAUAGCAUGACUAUUAUUUAAAGCAGAGAAUUGUUUCCCUGUUGUACCUAUUCAUAGCUUAGUGAUAACAAAUCACUAGUUAAGUCUCACAAAAUUUGAUAUUAAAAAGCAGUUAUAUCCCAAACAUCAUCCAUUCAUUAUACCAAUAAACAAAAGAUACAGAUAGAAUAAGUAAUAGGCUUACUGAUAAAGUCCUGGGGUUGAUUUGUGCAACUAAAAGGCAGUGCUCCAGCAUGGCUGCAGUCAAAUAACAAACAAAUAAAAGUAUAUGUAUAUAUAUAAACAAAACAUUCAAACACUAAGGUUUGAAAUAAGAUGUCACUAUUGUUAAUAUCAUCUGUGGAUAAAAUUAAAAAUUGAUGGUAUCAACACUAGUAACAUAGGUUUGCAGGCAAAAAGCAUUAUUUAGCUAUAAAUUACAAAUCAGCACAAAGCAUAAGGAUGCAGAAAAGCAUCAACCUGCUAGAAAUAAGAGCUAAAGUCUUAAUUAAACCACUGUAAAGCACCAAGGAAACAGAGAAAUAACAGUAGGUGAGGAAACAGAAAGAAUUACUACAUUCAAAAGCACAACUAUGAAAGAUUACGCCAUUUAGGACAUCUACAUACCUGAGUUUCAGCUUUUGGAAAUUUAAUCCUUGAGCCUCUUCAGUGUAGACCACCUAAUAAAAAUUGAAGACCGUCGCAUUAUAUUCCAUUAGUGUACUGGUUUUGUUUUGUAUAAAAGUAUGCAUACUGUCUUAAAAGGGUAUGUCUGUUUAUAGCUCUUCUAAUAUAUAGUUAUAUAUACAUGUAUAUUACUAUAUAUUUAAUAUACAUAUAUAACCAAUAGAAUUAACAAAUAUAAUAUUUGUAAUAUUUCUUUGCACUUUGUAUUAUUAUUGAUAUUUCAGUUUUAGAUAUAUUAUAUAAGGACUUUGAAAAAUUGCAUUUUUCCAAGUCCUUUUAUUGUUUGGGAUUAAAUGCAGUAAUUUCUGCAAAUCUACAGAUCUUUCCAGUCUAUGCUUCCAUAAAUUUAAGAGAUCCACAUCUCUUCCAUUUUCCUGUCUAUGGUUGGUAGAUGACACCCACAAGAAAAAGUCAAAGACUGCACUGUAAGCCAACAAAUAAAAUUGCUAUUUUUAUGUACAACAUUCCCUCUGCUUACAGCUGUGAGACUCUACCAUGAUGUAGUAUCUAUUUACAGCUCGGUGAACUGGGCUUUCAGUUGCUAUGGACCAGUAAAAUUAUAUAAGCUUGAAUGGAGCUGUUACAUUUCAGUAAUUAGCUUGUUAGAGAAUUAUAAAUAUAUCUAUCAAUGUUUCUCUCCACAAUAAGACAACCUUCUUUCCUUUUUUGGAUUUUAAAGAUUAUCUUUGUAUUAUUAUAAAGUUUACUGAAGAAAUUUUUUAUAACUUUGUUUCACUCAUCGUUUAAUUUCAUACUUUUAUGCAUGUUUGCCCAUUUGUCUUUUGAAUCUCUGAUACCAUUCUUAUAUUCUUCCAUUCUGAUUGGACAAAAAUUUCCAUUAAAAACUUUAUCUCUAAAAGCCAUUUUAAGCAACUUCCAAUUUACCACUGUUCUCAACUUUGCUUAUCUAUUCUAAAUCUACAGUUCCUACUUGAGAGAAUGGAUGCCUUGGCACAUAAUGCAAUAAGUAAUAUUGCAGGUAGAAUAACAGAAAUGUCUCCUUGGGCUCGAGUAAAAAUAAAACAAGUUCUACUCUAUGUUAGAGUGAAUAUGUUUAACAAUUAAAUGCAGCCAAUUUGUUAGGUUAUGUACUGAAUCAUAAAAAAAAUGACCAUAUUGGCUGAACAAACAACUCACUGUUAUUGUACCAACACACAGGUGAGUGUAUAAUAAAUCAUAGCAAGCAAUCAUGUCUAAAGAAGAAAAAAUAGACACGACAAUAUUGCUCUAAAUAUAUUUUUCUGUUUCAACUUUUACAGUUUUGUUCACAAUCUGACUGAGUCCUGCACUUCCCCGAUCAUAUAUAGAUGUAGAUAUAUGCGCACACACACACACACACACACAUACACCACAGUAACAAACCAAAUUAAUUUUGGUUGGUUUUGGGGGAAGGCUAGGGUACUGCUUCUGUUGUUUGGUGUCAAGUCUUUAAAUUGUUUAUACAAUCUUGCAGUUGAAAGUAUUAAUUAUUAAUAAAAAGUAUUCUUGUUAUAAAUUUCAAAAAUGACAAUAUUUAUGGAAAAUGUGAUGUACUCCAAGAUGUAAAAUAUGUAUAAAAAAGAAAAUUUUAAAUAAAUCAGAAUACCACAAAU